rnacentral:rRNA from 1 species
GACGAACGCUGGCGGCGUGCUUAACACAUGCAAGUCGAACGAUUCUUCCAAGCUUGCUGGGUGGAUUAUUGGCGAACGGGUGAGUAACACGUGAGUAACCUGCCCCUGACUCUGGGAUAUGCGUUGGAAACGACGUCUAAUACUGGAUAUGACUGCCGGCCGCAUGGUCUGGUGGUGGAAAGAUUUUUUGGUUGGGGAUGGACUCGCGGCCUAUCAGCUUGUUGGUGAGGUAAUGGCUCACCAAGGCGACGACGUGUAGCCGGCCUGAGAGGGUGACCGGCCACACUGGGACCGAGACACGGCCCAGACUCCUACGGGAGGCAGCAGUGGGGAAUAGUGCACAAUGGGCGAAAGCCUGAUGCAGCAACGCAGGGUGGGGGAUGACGGCCUUCGGGUUGUAAAACUCUUUUAGUAGGGAAGAAGCGAAAGUGACGGUAACUCAUGAAUAAGGGUCGGCUAACUACGUGCCAGCAGCCGCAGUAA